CCUACGGGAGGCAGCAGUGGGGAAUUUUGCGCAAUGGGGGAAACCCUGACGCAGCAACGCCGCGUGAGUGAUGAAGGCUUUCGGGUCGUAAAGCUCUGUCGGAGGGGAAGAAAUGAAAACGGUUAAUACCCGUUUUCCUUGACGGUACCCUCAAAGGAAGCCCCGGCU
rnacentral:rRNA from 1 species